GCCCGGGUGAUGGAACUGGCAGACAUACCGGACUUAAAAUCCGGAGCCGAAAGGCAUACGGGUUCGACCCCCGUCCCGGGCA
rnacentral:tRNA from 1 species